rnacentral:lncRNA from 1 species
UUGGGUCUCUGAUUUCCUUUUUUCGUCUCACUUCCCACAUCAAAUCCAUAGACAAGUGCUGUCUGCUCCAUCUCCAAAAUUAACCCUAAAGUGACUAUAGACUGUCUAAGGGAUCUUCCGGCUUUCACUUUUGCCCACAACCCUUCAUUCUUCUCAGAGCAGCAGGAUAUCUGAUUCCACUUUGUGCCCCGCCCUCUGGUCACUUCCCACUGGGUACCAGGCCCUCAGUGCCCUGGCGAUCUGGGCCCUGCUGCCCUCUCUGACGUUUCCUGGCACCAUGUCACUAUCCUCCAGCCACACUGGCGUAUCUCUUGCCACCCAGUGUCCACUUAGUAUGGUCUCUAGCCCAUGGCUGGCACAGAGGGACAGAGUAAGAGAGAACAGGUUGUUUCCAACCGUAUUAUCUACUAUUGUGGCAAUAAACACGAGUCAAGAGUUGAAUAAAAAGAAUUCUUUUUAUCAUCAUCAUCACCAUCAUCCUCAAUCACUGUCAUCACCAUACCACAAGGAAAAUCAAGUCUUCCAAUUUUUUUUUUUCACUAAUAUUAUGUGCGUGUGGAAGGGGAAGGAAGGAAAUUAUCCAACUGUUUCCUGCAGGCAGAGCAAGUCCCUACAGAGCAGGCUGCCCUCAGUGAUGAUGAGUUUUGUAUCUCCCAGAACAUCCCACCUCUUAAAUGUCUAGCAUCUU